AUGGAGAGAGGAGAAGGAGGAUCAGGGGCACAACAAGAAGGGAGCAGCAACGGGGCUUGGAGAAGAAGCAGUAGAAGCAGCAACAAGGCGAGGGAAGAAGGAGCAGCAGCAAGGAAACUCUCGCGCGGAGGUGCUCAGUGGUGCGGUGGUGAUGGUGGCGCGGUGAAGCGGGGAGUGGUGGUGAUGGCGGCGGUGUGGAGCAUGUGGAGGUGCUGGGUGGCGCGCCGCCACGCCGGCCUGGCCGCGGCGGCGGCCGGAGAUGGAAGAAGAAGUGGUGAGGGAGAGAGAUGGAGAUGCCAGACCCGAUGGGGAUCGACAGCCGCUAGGGAUUUUGACCCCUCCUCUGAUCUGCCACUUUGCAAUUUUGGACCUUCUCCUUUUCUUAUUUCUUCACAAGAAGGUCCCUUUCUUCUUUAA
rnacentral:rRNA from 1 species